rnacentral:snRNA from 1 species
AUCACUUCUCAGCCUUUUGGCUAAGAUAAAGGGUAGUAUCAGUUCUUAUUAGUGCAGUAUCUUUUUUUUUUUUUUCUUUUGAGGCAGAGUCUUGCUCUGUUGCCCAGACUGGAGUGCAGUGGCAUGAUCUCGGCUCGCUGUAACCUCCGCCUCCC